GACAAUAUUAGCAACUCAGUUGGAACUUCCAGCAAGUGCCUUUUUUAUUUCAUAUUAAUCUCCUCCAUUUCUCGUUUUUUUUUUCUUAAACGAUUUUAUUCCAAAUAUUUCAAAGUGUUUUCUAACUUGUGGGUUUGAUUAUAUUAUUUUUAGGAAGAAUCCGGUGAAACAUUCAGGCAUGAACCUCCUAACUGCAGAUCGUUUGCCAUUGCAGGCAAAGCUGGUGGAGAUAAAUGGAGAUCCAUGUCUCAUGCUGAUAAACGAGUAGCUUCUGAUGAAGAUGAAUCAGAUUCAGACGAGAGUGAAGAGGUUGUUAACUCAUUUUCGGAUACAGUCAAACCCAAAAGACCAGCAAUUGCCUUUUUCUGUUUCAUGGAAGAAUCUAGACAAACAUAUAAGAAUGAACAUCCUAACAACAAGGCAGUCAUCGUUAUAGGCAAAGCUGGAGGAGGUAAAUGGAAAUCAUUGUCUGGUGCUGUAAGUGAUUUCUUUAGGGACAGAAGUUUCAUUUUCAUAAAAAUCUUGGAACUUUAUUUGGUUAAAUUUAACAUUUGUCUGUGAAAAAAUAAAUACCGGAAGUAGAAAAUGGUUUUCUUAAUAUAAUUUUCUGAUGUCUUUUAUUUUCACUACUCAUUUGUGUGCAUUGUUCUUUCAAUAUAUUUUUUUUAUUGUUGUCAUGAUUUGGUAGAGUGAAGGAGUCAGACGAAUCAUUUGACUUCAACAAGUCAGACGAAUCAGAGUCCGAUGAAGACAAUGAAAGCGAAGAGGUAGAUUGGCACAGACCUAAAGUGCCUACCAGCGCCUAUUCCAUUUUCAUGGAAAUAUUCAGACAACUAUACAAGGAAAAGCAUCCGAACAAUAGAUCUGUCUGUGUUUUAAGUUAUCACGGCAGAUUUACCUCAAUUUCUCUACAUAUCAGUUCCAUUUGUGCUUAUCAUCUUAUUUGCUUUACUUUAUUUCAGAACCAAAAGGUAAGCAAAGCUGGGGGAGAUGGAUGGAAAUCAAUGUCCGAUUCUGUAAAUAGCUUCUCUUAUGAAAAAAAAUGUUUGAUACGUUUUCCAUUCCAAUUAAUGUUGGCUUUUGCUAGCUUUAACUUUUAUUCUUAUUACAGGAGAAAGCUCCUUGUGUAGCAACUGAAAAGCAAAGCAAAAUCGAGUAUCUCAAAUACAUGAGAGCGCAUGAGAAGAAGAUAUAAAGCUGUGCAGCUUUGAAGGUGCGAACUCUUAAAGAUACAGGAGUCAGUUUGGGGUUAUCAUUUCCUUCUACAAACAUUCUUAUGACAUGAUUAAUGGAUGAUAACAGUGUAGAGGAUGUUGAAGAUGACAACAGUGAAGACGUUUUUUCUGCAUAAAAUAAUUUCAUAAGAAUUCUUUUGGUUGCCGAAAGAGGAUGAAGAGUAGAAUGAGGUGAAGUAAAGAAGAAGAUGAUUUAGCUGGUGUAGUUGAUCACUAAUACUCUUGAUUUAGCUGGUGUAGUUGAGUGUUUUCACAUGUAGAAGCUUAAAUCUCUGUAGUACAAUCUUUAUUCUUGUGUGUAAAUUUCAUGCGUGUAAAUUUUAACCUUUUGCAGCUAAAUUAUUAAUAGAUUUUGUUGUAAAUUACAUUUAUAUA